rnacentral:rRNA from 1 species
GAUGAACGCUGGCGGCGUGCCUAAUACAUGCAAGUCGAGCGAACGGACGAGAAGCUUGCUUCUCUGAUGUUAGCGGCGGACGGGUGAGUAACACGUGGAUAACCUACCUAUAAGACUGGGAUAACUUCGGGAAACCGUAGCUAAUACCGGAUAAUAUUUUGAACCGCAUGGUUCAAAAGUGAAAGACGGUCUCGCUGUCACUUAUAGAUGGAUCCGCGCUGCAUUAGCUAGUUGGUAAGGUAACGGCUUACCAAGGCAACGAUGCAUAGCCGACCUGAGAGGGUGAUCGGCCACACUGGAACUGAGACACGGUCCAGACUCCUACGGGAGGCAGCAGUAGGGAAUCUUCCGCAAUGGGCGAAAGCCUGACGGAGCAACGCCGCGUGAGUGAUGAAGGUCUUCGGAUCGUAAAACUCUGUUAUUAGGGAAGAACAUAUGUGUAAGUAACUGUGCACAUCUUGACGGUACCUAAUCAGAAAGCCACGGCUAACUACGU